GGUUCUAUGGUGUAAUGGUUAGCACUCUGGACUCUGAAUCCAGCGUUCCUUGUUCAAGUCUCGGUAGGACCU
rnacentral:tRNA from 1 species